rnacentral:rRNA from 1 species
GAUGAACGCUGGCUACAGGCUUAACACAUGCAAGUCGAGGGGAAACGGCAUUGGGUGUUUGCACCGAAUGGACGUCGACCGGCGCACGGGUGAGUAACGCGUAUCCAACCUUCCCGUUACUGCGGGAUAACCUGCCGAAAGGCAGACUAAUACCGCAUGUUCUUCGAUGACGGCAUCAGAUUCGAAGCAGAGACUCGUCGGUAACGGAGGGGGAUGCGUCUGAUUAGCUAGUUGGCGGGGCGACGGCCCACCAAGGCGACGAUCAGUAGGGGUUCUGAGAGGAAGGUCCCCCACAUUGGAACUGAGACACGGUCCAAACUCCUACGGGAGGCAGCAGUGAGGAAUAUUGGUCAAUGGGCGGAAGCCUGAACCAGCCAAGUAGCGUGCAGGAGGACGGCCCUAUGGGUUGUAAACUGCUUUUAUGCGGGGAUAAAGUGAGGGACGUGUCCCUUUUUGCAGGUAC